UAGAAUGUAACCUUUUUGGUACACUCUUGUCUAUCCCUUUGUCUACCUUACUCUGUUGCUUCCAUGGUGCCAGCCAAUUCUUUGGCUCCGGGCAGGUGCUAAACCCACCUGUUUGGAAGUGCCCAUGGGUGGUUCGCCCGGGGAACGCCUGUACCCGGGGGAACCAACCUUAUAAAAAUCUGAAACUUGAGAAAUUGUCUGAACGUAUAUUAAAAUACAAAU
rnacentral:misc_RNA from 1 species